rnacentral:rRNA from 1 species
UACGGGGGGGAGCAAGCGUUGUUCGGAUUUACUGGGCGUAAAGGGCGCGUAGGCGGUUAGUUAAGAUUGAUGUGAAAGCCCUGGGCUUAACCUAGGAAUGGCAUCGAUGACUGGCGAGCUAGAGUACUGUAGAGGGUAGUGGAAUUUCCGGUGUAGCGGUGAAAUGCGUAGAGAUCGGAAGGAACACCGGUGGCGAAGGCGGCUACCUGGACAGUGACUGACGCUGAGGCGCGAAAGCGUGGGGAGCAAACAGG